GGCUUCAAAGGGAAUGCCUUCGAGUGAGAUCUGAGAAGUGCGAUUGGAUGGAGCUGCUGUUGCGGUGGAAGAUAAGUUUCGAGUGCAGCGCAAUCAACCCAAAGUAUUUCAAUCGUGAUAAGAUCUGGUUAGUUUUGCGGUGUGCUGCUGCUUGCCGCUUUCCGGAGGUCGGGCCUGUCUUGCAGCCAGAACGCGUCUGUUGGCUCUGUCGCCCGGUCGAUCGUUCGUUGUGCUCUGCUCCAGUACCUACGAUUGGAAUUGUUGCCCACGGGAGAUGCCGAUGAUACCGAGUUCAACUUCAGAGAUUGCUUAUUUGGGUGGCAAAACAGACGUUCGGUCAGUUGAACAUACAUCACUCAAAUGUGAUUAAAGUUGUCCAAAUAGUACGAUGCGGAAAAAGGUAAUCAAAUCGGCCCCAACAGAAAUCAAAACACAACAAAACUGUACCCCCACCAGGUAAGCCACCCACGACUAUGUUGGGUCGUUUCGAAUGUCUUCCAAACAGCAAUGCCUACUCGGUCGAAGCGUGUUCCUCAGCUCAUCGGUUAGCCGCCGACGGCGGUAACGAUUCAUUAAAAAAUCACACAUUUGCUCAUCGACCGCCCGGUGCUACC